rnacentral:rRNA from 1 species
AUGAACUCAUCCCUUAUUAGCUUGCUCUUGUAUAUUAUGAGAUUCUAUAGUUUGCAUGAAUCCCUUCAUCAGGAGAUCGCCAAGUACCUCUCCCGGUUCUUCUGGGCGGGAGAAGGCAAUAAGCAGAAAUACCAUAUGGUCAAGUGGUCCGAGAUCUGCAAGCCCAAGGAUCAAGGUGGUUUUGGUGUUAUCUCCUCAAAACGUAUGAAUAUCUCUCUUCUCGCCAAGUGGCUGUGGUGCAUUAAGACUGGUGCCAGCGGCCUGUGGUUGGAUAUUAUCCGCGCAAAGUAUCUACGCAGACAACCUCUCGCCUUUGCCCCCCGGGUUGGGGGAUCCCAGUUUUGGCAGUCAAUUAUUCAAUUGAUGUCGAUCCUCCGGAUCGGCACGUCGAUUGUUGUGGGCUCGAGCUCCAAUACAUUGUUCUGGCUGGACAGAUGGUCGGGAACCAGACCAUUCGCGCAAAGGUUCCAUGCCUUAUUCUCGAUUUGCUCCCACCCACGUCUUUCGGUGGGAGCCACCCUUCAUGACAUAUGCGCCAUCUCCUUUCGUCGCACCUUUGGGGAACUUGAGCGAGAGCAAUGGGACGAGCUUUUGGAGUGCGUGGCUCUGCACACUCCCUCGCUCGAACCGGACUCUGUUGCGUGGCACCUUGAGCCGACUGGGACAUUCUCCACUAAAUCCUUAUACCGCGCGAUCUUGCCGACUCCGGGUCCCAAUGAGCUUACAGUACUAUGGGAGAUCAAGUUACCACUUAAGAUUCGUACCUUCUUGUGGCAAUGGGUUCGCGGCAGCCUGCCCUCGGGCACGGAGGUCCAGAAGCGUAAUGGCCUGGGUGAUGGCCUUUGUCCCUUAUGUGGAGUUCCGGAAGACUCCAACCGUAUCUUCUUCCGGUGCCCGGCUGCACGAUUCCUAUGGAGUUGUUUUCGGGAUGUCGUGGGUGGGACAUGGUGCCAUGAUAGUCUCCCAGACUUGUUCAGGGAGAUCCUAGAUUCCCCCCUAUUAGUGGACCCUCCCUUUGGGUGGUAG